rnacentral:rRNA from 1 species
CGCAGCCGCGGUAAUUCCAGCUCCAAUAGCGUAUAUUAAAGUUGUUGCAGUUAAAAAGCUCGUAGUUGAAUUUCGAGAUCAAAUUGUUGGUCGUGCCUCGGUACGUACUGGCAUUAUUGAUUUCUCCCUUCUGAAGAACCUUGAUGUCAUUAAUUUGGUGUCUUGGGGAAUCAGGACCGUUACUUUGAAAAAUUAGAGUGUUUAAAGCAGGCUCACGCUUGAAUACAUUAGCAUGGAAUAAUGAAAUAGGACGUUUGAUUCUAUUUUGUUGGUUUCUAGGAUCGACGUAAUGAUUAAUAGGGAUAGUUGGGGGCAUUAGUAUUCAAUUGUCAGAGGUGAAAUUCUUGGAUUUAUUGAAGACCAACUACUGCGAAAGCAUUUGCCAAGGAUGUUUUCAUUAAUCAAGAACGAAAGUUAGGGGAUCGAAGACGAUCAGAUACCGUCGUAGUC